rnacentral:rRNA from 1 species
GACGAACGCUGGCGGCGUGCUUAACACAUGCAAGUCGAACGGAAAGGCCCUGCUUUUGUGGGGUGCUCGAGUGGCGAACGGGUGAGUAACACGUGAGUAACCUGCCCUUGACUUUGGGAUAACUUCAGGAAACUGGGGCUAAUACCGGAUAGGAGCUCCUGCUGCAUGGUGGGGGUUGGAAAGUUUCGGCGGUUGGGGAUGGACUCGCGGCUUAUCAGCCUGUUGGUGGGGUAGUGGCUUACCAAGGCUUUGACGGGUAGCCGGCCUGAGAGGGUGACCGGCCACAUUGGGACUGAGAUACGGCCCAGACUCCUACGGGAGGCAGCAGCGGGGAAUAUUGCACAAUGGGCGGAAGCCUGAUGCAGCAACGCCGCGUGCGGGAUGACGGCCUUCGGGUUGUAAACCGCUUUCGCCUGUGACGAAGCGUGAGUGACGGUAAUGGGUAAAGAAGCACCGGCUAACUACGUG